CAAUCAAUCAAAUUGAUUGCUGCUCUGUGUCAUGCAUGUCAACAAAAUCGUAAAAAAUCCACUGUGCAGUAACUCGUAGGAAUUAUUAACGUGUAGAUUAAAAUCAAAUUCUCGUGAAGUGCGCAUAAUGUAUAAUAAUUGAACAAUUUCUCAAUGAACUCUCAUAGUUGGUGUACCUAAUGGCUAUAUUUGAAAAACCAUCUCAAACCAAGUCUGUUGUAGAUGACACCGAAAAACUAAUCUGUACUGUUGAAAAUGCACAAAAUAUCAACAAACACACAGAAUAUAUCUUACGAGUGCAGCGAGGUCCUAGCAAGGAGAACACUUGGCAUGUGUCCAGAAGGUACAGAGAUUUUGCAGCACUCCAUUCCAGCCUUCAGCAGGCCAACAUUGACUUGCCUUUACCACCAAAGAAACUUAUUGGGAACAUGCAACCAUCUUUUAUUGCUGAAAGGCAAAUAGCAUUACAGAACUAUAUUGAUGAGGUGUUAAAGCGUGAGGUGCUGGCUUUGACACUACAAGUGAGAAGUUUUUUGGACCCCAGCAACUAUUCGCUGGCCAUAGCAGAGCAAGCGCUACAAAGCGUGUCAAUUGCGCUCCGAGGCGAUGGCCGGUAUGAAUUGAAAGGACCUCUCAAUGGCAUCGGCUGGAGGCCACGAAAACACUACUUUUUAGUCACUGACAUAGAAAAUCGAUCAAAUUGCAUACUGUCCUGGCAGACCUACGGGCCUGAUAGAGCACUGAGCGACAAAGACUUGCAGACUGCAUUCAAGAGCUUACAAAGUAUUAGUCAUCCUUACAUAGAUGAUAUAUUAGCAAUUCACAAUUUAGAAACGGGUGCCUAUGUAGUUAGGAAAAUACACGAAACAGGUAGCCUGAGAGAUAUUCUCUAUGGAACUGACUACUCUAAAAAUUACUUAGCCAAAUAUGGAAAUCCCAAAGUGAGGAAGCCUUUCACGAUAGGACAGAUUGCGCAUUAUGGGUAUCAAAUUCUGCAAGCCUUGAAGUUUCUGCAUGAAAAAGGACUUCCACAUGGUCACUUGCACCCCGGAAACAUAGCAAUAGACAACCAAAAGGCAAUGCUAAUGGACGUAGAGAACGGUCUGAUAGGCGCGUCCUGUUUCUACCGCUCGCAUCUAAGGCAGCGGCGGCGAGCGUGCUCAGCAGAAGCGGUGGACGUCCAUUGCUUCGCGCUCACGCUGUAUGAGAUGGCGUUUGGGGAGCCGUUAACGGAGCCCUACAAAGACACCUACCCUGCCGGCACUGAUGAAGGAUUAGAAUCAGUCCUCCGCUUAUGCCUGUCGCGAUCGGCGAGUAAAUACGGCGCGCUGUCAGUAGAAGAGUUACUUUGCCAGCCGUUGUUUGCGCGCGCGCCGCUCAAUGGCUUCCUUGCGCCGGAUCACGACCGCGCGCAUUUGAAGUUUCCGCUCGCGUUGAAGGAUGAGAUUAGGAAGGCUGUGGAGCUGGUGGAGGCCAGGCUUAAGACUGAACAGAAACUGGACCGAAGUACGAAGAGAGAAGUGCGUAUCCAAGAAAUUCUUAAUUCUGAGGAAGAAAUGAAGAAACAGAAAAGACGAGCGAAGAAGCGUGACAGCGUGUGGAAGUCUACGUCCUCGUUAGCAGAGACAGUCCGCUCGCACAGCGCCAGCACCGCGUCGUCGCCCACGCCGCCCGCGCUCAGUGCAGAGCCCCAAAACAACGGUCACAGCUCGGCAGCGACAAGCCCGAGCGCGUCCAACGGGCGCUCCGCUUUACUGGAUGCCAUCUGCGGCUUCGACAAGUCGCGGCUGGCGCGCGCGCCGCGGUGAGAGGCGGCCGCGCUGGCGCACCGCCUCGCCAGGGCGCUGCGCUCGGCCUCCAUGUAUGGGCUGCGCGACUCCGACGUUGAUCCUUUGCUGUAGUGUUGACGGGUAAUCGAUUAAUAAUCGGGGUAGGCGGGGCCUAAACUAAAAAAAUCUAUUAUUAGGUAUACUGUCGUAAAACUAAGAUUGAUAUCUACUUCAUCGAUACUAUCAAUAGCCUAUUGCGUCAGCCGGUCGCCCCACUUUAGCCUAGGCGCAGACCGACCACCAACUUUUAGUUGGCCGAUAGUUGGGCCCGAUUCUAAUGAAGAAUCAGCCAAUAAUAAAUCAGUGUAAUGUGCGCACUUUCAUACAUCUCCAUACUGAUUAACAGCCCGACCCAACUAUUGGCCAACUAAUGGCGCAAUUUCACUAGUCGAUAGGGUCCGCAUGCGGUGUGCGAGUUUUCUGGAACGCGUGCCACAGGGCCCGCAAUCUAGGUGCGAAGUUUACUAAAAAAUAGAAACAGGCAUGGCGCGUCUGAAAAUCUGAAUGAUGAAUUUCAUUGGUCGAUAGCACGGUCGGUAUAAUGCAUGCGGGGAGUCCCCGCAUGCUGUAUACUGAACCAGUUAUCGACUAAUGAAAAUGCGCCAUAAAAGUCGGUGGUCUGCGCCUUGGCUUACUGGAUAGGUACCAUCUGCGGCUUCGACAAGUCGCGGCUGUGAGAGGCGGCCGCGCUGGCGCACCGCCUCGCCAGGGCGCUGCGCUCGGCCUCCAUGUAUGGGCUGCGUGACUCCGACGUUGACCCACUGCUGUAGUAACCCCUAUAGUGUAUCGAUUAUUAAUCGAUAGUGUCGAAUUAGUUAUAUCUUUCACGAAUGACAAUUACAUCGAUCUCUACGCGUCGUUAAUAUCCUCUUCAAGAAUUUAUGUCAUCGGUAGUCCCUAUUUCACGAAUACAUCGAUUUAAUGUCCAUAGUAUCGUCUCAAUUGAAGUAUCUAUUAAUCGAUGAUAGUCACCUGGAUAUCUUCGACCAAAGGAAGCAUACAUUUAAGAAACAUGUCAAGGAUGCCCUCAGCCAAGCUACCCAUGACUCGUCAUAAAUAAUGUUGAGGAACUCUUUGUUUUGUUUUGUUUACUCUGCAGUUUAUUAACACUUUCCGAUUUAUUUACCUAUAUAUACAAUAUAUGUGUACCUAAUGCAUGUAUAACAAAUCUGUGAAAACAUAUUUAGGGUUACAUUUUAGUCUAUAUCUACAUUUAAGUAUUAUUUAAACCAUGUAAAGAAUGUAAUCUGUUUUGUUUUCCAAAUAAAUAAAAUUAAAAUUAAAUUAAAUCGAUAGUCCUAACAACUCUACUUUGACAAGUCGCGUCUAGCGCAUCGCCUCACGCGAAUGCUCCGCUUCGCUUUAAUGUAUGCGGUGGUGAGCGAAUCGGAGGUUGACCCUUUACUGUAGAAUUCCCGGACCAUCGAUCGCAUCGAUUUUAAUCGGGGCAAAUAUGGCCUAAAAUAACUAUGUAAUUAAUUCUGACGUAAAACUAAUAUCGAUGUCUAUUUUAUCGAUACUAUCAAUAGGGGGGCAUAAAGGAUUUCGCAACACUACCUUGCUAUGAGUUAGAGAAACAAGUCUACCAUAAUUAAAUGAUCAAACGAACUUACCAAGUGAAGUUCGAUCUAAAUUAUCCUGUUUUCGCCGAAGAGAUU